CCUACUUUGCAGCCGCACCCGACAUUGUGAGGGAUAUCUUUUGUAGCAGCCAUUUCUUGGUUGGAUAGGGUUUGAAGUUUAUGUUCGACGACGUCACUUUUCGCUAGAUCUUUCGAUAGUCCAGCCACUGAACCUUGUAAAAAUGAGGGGCCUGUUUGAGAUACACCGGCCGGAGUCGAAAUUCUGGCUCGAUAAGCCGGGAUAAAGAGUUGUAUUCACUCGGAUUGAACUCCGAGAUGCAACGGAAGCCUUCAGUUGGGACUUGUGUUUAAAGAUGGUAGGUAGCGAAGCUGAAAUAGAAGAAGCCCUAAACAGCAGCUGAUAACGGGAGGCGCAUCCCAAGAGAUUACGUUUAAAUGGUUUACGUGGGUUAUUGUGAGAUGUCAAUUACCAAAAUGAAAGCAAUAACCCGGAUGUUGCCGGGACACCGCAAAAGCUGAGAUGUUUAUGAAGACUUCUGAUGAUUCUGCGAUUUAAAGAGCUGACAGAGAAAGAAGAAGAAAGAAGAUGCGGUCCACUUUUUUAUUCUACUUCAUGCUCGAUAAAUGAAGUUGUAAUCUAUUAUUUCUGUCUAAUGUUGUCAUGGUCGGUCAGUGAAAAAAAAAUGAAUAGAACCCAUCGAAACGAGAAUUCAGUUUGGCGAAUUAAAUAUAACUUUUAUUUUCACGAAAAAGAUGCCAUAAAUCUGUAAUUUUUUUUUGGAGGAAAAAAUGCUGUAAUUUGUAAACGAAGUACUUUUAUCAUAUCGCUAGCUAUACAUAUGUAGCCUCUUAAUUGACAUCUAAAUUCCCUUCUAACUAUCUUGUAAGUUCUACAAAGUCCGUUUCUUAAUUCUUGUUCAUCUAUGGAAAGGUAGGACUCGUCAAGGUAGCUGCUUUAUUCCCGGGCUAUCAAGCUUUCAGGUUAAUUUACAUUAAGGAAUGACAUCAAUAGAUGCUUAUCAAGGAUAUAGCGUUGGUAGUGAUGUUAAGUAGGUCGCAUUUGUAGAAACUAACCCUUUUUCUCUGAUCGAAUAGAAAAACUAUUAGGUUAGGCAUAAUUGUAUAUCGCAUUUUUAGAACGAGGAAACGAAACAGCAUUGAAGGAUCGCCGUUAUUCAAGUGUCUCGAGCUUAUUUUAUGGGUUCUCUUUGCCUUUGUGCUGUCUUAGCUGUAAACAUCUGCUAUGAAAAGGCUUGGUUGCUCGUCCUCAUCUCCCACACCUGCUCUCUGUAAACAGAUGUCACUCCUUUGAAUUUCCCAUAUAAGGGUCGUUUGCGUCGUCGUUCCGAGCUGUCGACUUCUGAUUGGUCCAAUUAGGAAUUAGCUUUGGCGGAGAAGUGGUUUCAUUGACGGACGCCUCCCGUGUUAAUGGGCUCUUACUACCCUCUGACGUCAAUGGAGCAACGUGGGUGUCUACACCUGUUUUUCUAUUGUCCCCACAAAAUGGGGCGACUUGUGUCAUAACGAAGCCAACCGCUAGGAAGACUCUCAAAGCAUUCUGUUACGCGCAGAAAAUUGAAGCUAGUAAAUGCUUCAAUGCGCAGUGACUUAUAAAUAAAGUAACCAUAAAUUCAGAUUUUUCACUAUUCUUAUGUUAAGAAAAAGUUAAUUAAUUUGCGCGCUGUCAUGUUUACCUAAUGAUUGUUAUGAUUGUCCUUUAACAAAGCAUCCAUUUCCUAUGAAUUUAGUUAUUUCACAUGCUAUUAUUUACCUCGCGAAGACCAUUAAAAAACAUUUUUUUGACAUAUCCCUUAAAUAUUAAAGGGUUUCUCCUAACGGUAAUUCCUUUAAGAACUUUGUAUUAAACUCUGACGUGGUAAACAUCAGGCAAUACGUCAUCAAUUUCUAGUCCACCAUACAUCGUGUCGAGCUCAUUAAAAAUCACUAUCCUAUUAUUUUUGUAGCAUUAAUCAGUUUCUAAAAAAUGACCUAAGCUCAUUCCAGUAAUGAUCAUGAAAACGAUGUCGUUAUAUACAAACUAAAUAACUGUAUAGCGUGAUCGCAUCGAGGUAUGGCUCGAAUGUUGACAAAUGGACUCAACGCGAAAUUAAGACUUAGUGGGUGAUUCUGUAGGCCUGAUUUCAGUUUACAAGCGUUCGAAAGAAUCGAAAAGGGGCAGUAUUCGAUAAUUAGCUCCUCGUGCGUUAUACACAGUACCGCGGACAAAAUGGAAAACUUGCGGCGCCGUAACUUACGUCGUAAAUUUUCUGUGACAAUCUUGUGAUUAAAGGAUGUUUUUAUUGAGUGGUAUUUAUACGCGGCGAUCGGGUUCCAUGUUCUCCUGAUGAUUGGGAGUUCUUGCUGAAUUUGGUUUUAUCUUGAGUGAGGCCCGUUUCACAAAACUGAAACAGGCCUUGCGUAAUUACUUCAUUGUAUUGGUGUUUUAUCAUAGUGAUUGGUUUCGUGGGAAACGCAUAGAGAA
rnacentral:lncRNA from 1 species